CACGUAGGCGGAUUGUUAAGUCGGGGGUGAAAUCCUGGAGCUCAACUCCAGAACUGCCUUCGAUACUGGCGAUCUCGAGUUCGGGAGAGGUGAGUGGAACUGCGAGUGUAGAGGUGAAAUUCGUAGAUAUUCGCAAGAACACCAGUGGCGAAGGCGGCUCACUGGCCCGAUACUGACGCUGAGGUGCGAAAGCGUGGGAGCAAACA
rnacentral:rRNA from 1 species